UACGGAGGAUCCGAGCGUUAUCCGGAUUUAUUGGGUUUAAAGGGAGCGUAGGUGGAUUGUUAAGUCAGUUGUGAAAGUUUGCGGCUCAACCGUAAAAUUGCAGUUGAAACUGGCGGACUUGAGUGGGCGAGAAGUAUGCGGAAUGCGUGGUGUAGCGGUGAAAUGCUUAGAUAUCACGAAGAACUCCGAUUGCGAAGGCAGCUCACUAGACUGCAACUGACACUGAUGCUCGAAAGUGUGGGUAUCAA
rnacentral:rRNA from 1 species